rnacentral:lncRNA from 1 species
GGAUCAAAUUAUGUUGAGAGAAAAACAAUUUUUUUAACUUCAAAUUAAUCAGAUAUAUACAAAUAUAUAUAUAUUACAGAUAUAAAUCUUAAUACGUGACAACAUCAAAACAAAUGCUUUCCGUUGGAUAACCUAAAGUUAUACAGGGUUUACAAUUUAUACUAUAAUUUGUAUAUACUUCCUCUGAAAUUUAGCACAAUGCUUAAGAAAAUCUAACAUUGCAGGGCUAAAUUUCAGACAAAGUACAUAUCAUAGAUAUAUAUAUAAAAUGUAGCAAAAUGUAUAUACAAAGUCAUUUCAUAAUAAAUAUUGUAAACAAAUAUGCUGCCUACUUGUUUGAACAGAUAUUCAUUGAAUACAACUAUAGCAUCAUGUAUAUAAAAUUGUAAAACAAUUUUUGCUUAUAGUACAGGACACAUUUAAUUUGGAUAAAACUCCAAAACAGAACAAGAUCUGUUGAGGUUGCUUAGUACCCAUAUUUCUCUGUCUUAAUUUGGUUUGAAUUUUUGGGAGUUUCAUAUGCUCAUACUUGAACUGAUAUAAUUUAUAUAUAUUAAGGCGGCUCGCGGGUCUAAAUGAUUUUUUUUAUUUAAUAUAGGAUUUCUCUAUAUUUUUCUAUAAAUGAACUUUAUCUUAUAUACUUAAUAGAAAAAUGAAAUAAAAAAAUGGGGUCACCGUUCAUUUACGCUCACAAUCUGCUUUCGAAAGAAGCAUACAUUUUUGUUAAUGUCCUUUUUUUCUGUUGAACUAAUAGGAGAAAUAGCGGUAAUAUCGAAAUAAAAAAAAGAACUAAAUUACAGAAAUCGCUAAAAUUUUAUAAUUAUUCAGUUUAUGUACAGCUUAUUCGAAAACAACAAUAAAAAAUAUAGGUCACCGAUGAGUUAAAAAAGAUAUUUCAAGUUUAAUGCCAAAAAGUGGCUUUUUUGAACCAAAGGGAGAUAAUUUGGAGCUUUUUAAGUGAUAUCUACAUUUUAAAAGUCCGCUGGGGCCAACAAGAAUUGAUUUUUUGGAAUGAUUUUUGUACCACAUGAUAAAGUAACACCUACUUAAGGUAAUAAAUAAAAUUUGUAAUGAAAAUUUAAUGUUUAAUUUUUUUCUGAAAAUCUUAUACCCGCGAGCCUCCUUAAAUGGUAAAAUGGACAUUAAACAUAUACCUGAAGAUCUGUUUGAAGAAGGUUAACAAACAAUAAACUAGAGGCUCUAAAGAGCCUGUGUCGCUCACCUUGGUCUAUGUGCAUAUUAAACAAAGGACACAGAUGGA